rnacentral:rRNA from 1 species
GAUGAACGCUAGCGGCAGGCUUAACACAUGCAAGUCGAGGGGUAUGCCGAUUUAUCGGCAGAGACCGGCGCACGGGUGCGUAACGCGUAUGCAAUCUACCUUUCACAGAGGGAUAGCCCAGAGAAAUUUGGAUCAAUACCUCAUAGUAUAGCGGUUUCGCAUGAAACCACUAUUAAAGUUCCAACGGUGAAAGAUGAGCAUGCGUCCCAUUAGCUAGAUGGUAAGGUAACGGCUUACCAUGGCUACGAUGGGUAGGGGUCCUGAGAGGGAGAUCCCCCCACACUGGUACUGAGACACGGACCAGACUCCUACGGGAGGCAGCAGUGAGGAAUAUUGGUCAAUGGACGCAAGUCUGAACCAGCCAUGCCGCGUGCAGGAUGACGGUCCUAUGGAUUGUAAACUGCUUUGUACGAGAAGAAACAACAUUACGUGUAAUGUCUUGACGGUAUCGUAAGAAUAAGGAUCGGCUAACU